rnacentral:rRNA from 1 species
GACGAACGCUGGCGGCGUGCUUAACACAUGCAAGUCGAACGCUGAAGGCCGAGCUUGCUUCUGUGGAUGAGUUGCGAACGGGUGAGUAACGCGUAGGUAACCUGCCUGGUAGCGGGGGAUAACUAUUGGAAACGAUAGCUAAUACCGCAUAAGAGUACAUGUUGCAUGACAUUUGCUUAAAGGUGAAAUUGCUUCACUACUAGAUGGACCUGCGUCGUAUUAGCUAGUUGGUGGGGUAACGGCUCACCAAGGCGACGAUACAUAGCCGACCUGAUAGGGUGGUCGGCCGCACUGGGACUGAGACACGGCCCAGACGGCUACGGGAGGCAGCAGUAGUGAAACUGCGGCAAGGGGCGGAAGUCUGACCGAGCUACGCCGCGGGAGUGAAGAGGGUUUUCGGGUCGGAAAGCUCUGUUGUAAGAGUAGAACGAGUGUGAGAGUGGAAAGUUCACACAGUGACGGUAUCGUGCCAAGAAGCGACGGCUAACUACGUG